GGUAUUUUGACCGUGCAAAGGUAGCAUAAUCAUUAGUUUUUUAAUUGAAAGCUGGAAUGAAAGGUUGGAUGAGAAAUAAGCUGUCUCUAUUUAAUUUUAUUAGAAUUUUAUUUUUAAGUAAAAAAGCUUAAAUUUUAAUAGAAGACGAGAAGACCCUAUAGAGUUUUAUUUAUUUAUUAAAUAAAAUUAUUAGUAUUUAUUAUUUUUAUUUAGUUAAUAAAUUUGGUUGGGGUGAUUGAAAAAUUUAAUAAACUUUUUUUAAAUAGUUACAUUAAUAUAUGAUUAAUUGAUCCUUAAUUUAAGAUUAAAAGAUAAAAUUACCUUAGGGAUAACAGCGUAAUUUUUUUUGAGAGUUCAAAUCGAAAGAAAAGAUUGCGACCUCGAUGUUGGAUUAAAAUAAAAUUUUGGUGUAGAAGCUAAAA
rnacentral:rRNA from 1 species